ACUAUACCAUGUACAGUGUGGCUGCGCUCACGAGCAUUGUGCAAAGUGACUGAAAUCAAGUUGUGAAUAGUGGCUUCUCUCCUACGGUAGUUUUCCAAAGACCUGCUUCUCUCUUCACUUGAAAGUGGCGGAAAGUACUGGACAUUGCUCUCAACUUAGUCAACUCAGGCACCGAGAUCAUCCUUUAUUAAUCAAGAAUCAACCCGCACCCAACUCCGCCCCAAUCAGAACAGCUGCUCCUCUCCCUCCACAGACUCAACUGAGAAUAAGCCAGUGACCCUUGACCUAUUGAUUGGAUUACAAUACAACUAUUGUGGAACUACUGGAGGUUAACCAUACAUGUAGAUGAGCAAGGUACAUGUACAUCAGGUGCUGUUUGCGGAAAAUGUUUGGUGCUGUUUGGAGACCACAUCGUGUUCCAGCUGACUCGUCUGUCUUCAGAUGGGACCGUGUCCAAUAUCAGAGCAAGAUAGGAGCAGGUACCAGAUCUGGCAUCACCUAAUGGAGUUAAAGGCAUUAGCAGUGUGGUUGGUCCCCUGCUUGUGGGCUCAUCUUCUGACAUCACUG